CUUAGAAGCAGCCACUCAUUCAAAGAGUGCGUAAUAGCUCACUGGUCGAGUGAUCCUGCGCCGAAGAUUUCCGGGGCUAAAACUUACUACCGAAGCUACGGCAUCAGUAAUGAGGGGUAGGGGAGCUCCCAUACGGGUUGAAGCAUGACCGUAAGGACAUGUGGACAGUAUGGGAGUGAGAAUGUUGGCAUGAGUAGCGAGAUGUGGGGGAGAAUCCCACAGGCCGUAAACCCAAGGUUUCCAGGGGAAGGUU
rnacentral:rRNA from 1 species